GACGAACGCUGGCGGCGUGCUUAACACAUGCAAGUCGAACGGAAAGGCCUUUUCGGAGGUACUCGAGUGGCGAACGGGUGAGUAACACGUGGGUGAUCUGCCCUGCACUCUGGGAUAAGCCUGGGAAACUGGGUCUAAUACCGGAUAGGACCGCACUUUAGUGUGUGUGGUGGAAAGUUUUUUCGGUGUAGGAUGAGCCCGCGGCCUAUCAGCUUGUUGGUGGGGUAAUGGCCUACCAAGGCGGCGACGGGUAGCCGGACUGAGAGGUUGGUCGGCCACAGUGGGACUGAGAUACGGCCCAGACUCCUACGGGAGGCAGCAGUGGGGAAUAUUGCACAAGGGGCGCAAGCCUGAUGCAGCGACGCCGCGUGGGGGAUGACGGCCUUCGGGUUGUAAACUCCUUUCGCCAGGGACGAAGCGUUUUGUGACGGUACCUGGAGAAGAAGCACCGGCUAACUACGUG
rnacentral:rRNA from 1 species